rnacentral:rRNA from 1 species
GACGAACGUUGGCGGCGUGCCUAAUACAUGCAAGUCGAACGAAGUCGCCUAAUUGAAAUGAGAUGCUUGCAUCGAUUUGAUUUUAGAUACGACUGAGUGGCGAACUGGUGAGUAACACGUGGGUAACCUGCCCAGAAGAAGGGGAUAACACCUGGAAACAGAUGCUAAUACCGUAUAACAACAAGAACCGCAUGGUUCUUGCUUGAAAGCUGGCCUUUGUGCUAGUGCUUCUGGAUGGACCCGCGGCGUAUUAGCUAGUUGGUGAGAUAAUAGCUCACCAAGGCGAUGAUACGUAGCAGACCUGAGAGGGUAAUCUGCCACAAUGGGACUGAGACACGGCCCAUACUCCUACGGGAGGCAGCAGUAGGGAAUCUUCCACAAUGGACGAAAGUCUGAUGGAGCAACGCCGCGUGAGUGAAGAAGGGUUUCGGCUCGUAAAACUCUGUUGUUAGAGAAGAACGGCUGUGAGAGUAACUGCUCACAGUGUGACGGUAUCUAACCAGAAAGUCACGGCUAACUACGUGCCAGCAGCCGCGGUAAUACGUAGGUGGCAAACGUCGUCCGGAUUUAUUGGGCGUAAAGGGAGCGCAGGCGGUUUAUUAAGUCUGAUGUGAAAGCCUUCGGCUUAACCGGAGAAGUGCAUCGGAAACUGAUAAACUUGAGUGCAG